rnacentral:piRNA from 3 species
CUGGGUCGGGGUUUCGUACGUAG